AAAAUGCGAUAAGUAGUGUAAAUUAUAGAAUUUAGUGAAUUAUCGAAUCUUUGAACGCAUAUUGCGCCCUAGGGUAUUCCCUAGAGUAUACCUGUUCAAGCGUUAUUUCUAUACUUAAGCCCUGCUUAGUGUUGGGCGCCUAUCCCCCUCCCUAGGGGACUUGCCUUAAAUCUAUUAGCGGCUAGUACGUUAGCUUCGAGCGCAGCACAUCCGCAAACCUUGAUGCCCGGCAGGCUAGCUCCUAGAAGCAACCUUACGAUUUUAACCUUGGAUUAGGUAGGGAUACCUGCUAAACUUAAGC
rnacentral:misc_RNA from 1 species